rnacentral:rRNA from 1 species
UUGGAAUUGUGUGCCAGCAGCCGCGUUACUACGGACGGUCCGGGCGUUAUCCGGAUUUAUUGGGUUUACAGGGAGCGUAGGCCGGCGAUUAAGCGUGUUGUGAAAUGUAGACGCUCACCGUCUGCACUGCAGCGCGAACUGGUUUCCUUGAGUACGCACAAAGUGGGCGGAAUUCGUGGUGUAGCGGUGAAAUGCUUAGAUAUCACGAAGAACUCCGAUUGCGAAGGCAGCUCACUGGAGCGCAACUGACGCUGAAGCUCGAAAGUGCGGGUAUCGAACAGG